rnacentral:rRNA from 1 species
AUUGAACGCUGGCGGCAGGCCUAACACAUGCAAGUCGAACGAGUGGCGGACGGGUGAGUAAUGUAUGGGAAACUGCCCGAUGGCGGGGGAUAACUACUGGAAACGGUAGUUAAUACCGCAUACCAUCAGAUGUGCCCAGAUGGGUGUGGCUUGUUGGUGGGGUAACGGCUCACCAAGGCGACGAUCCCUAUCUGGUCUGUGAUGAUGACCAUCCACACUUGAACUGGUACACAGUCAAGACUCCGACGGGAUGCGGCAGUGGGAAAUAUUGCACACUGAGCACAGGCCUGAUGCAGCCGUGCCGCGUGUAUGAAGAGGACCUUCGGGUGGUAAGGUACUUUCAGCGGGGAGGCGUUGCCCGCAGAAGAAGCACCGGCUAACGCCGUGCCAGCGGCCGCGGUAAUAC